rnacentral:rRNA from 1 species
GCGACAGUGGGGAAUAUUGGACAAUGGGCGCAAGCCUGAUCCAGCAAUUCCGCGUGAGCGAAGAAGGCCUUCGGGUUGUAAAGCUCUUUCGGCGGGGACGAUAAUGACGGUACCCGCAGAAGAAGCCCCGGCUAACUCCGUGCCAGCAGCCGCGGUAAUACGUAGGUGGCAAGCGUUGUCCCCAGCAGCCGCGGUAA